GAUGGACAGGUGACAGUGUUCCAUCCUACUGGCAGGUGGCAGCUACAUUGGAGCAGGACGACAGGGACACUGCCUCACCUGGGUGACGGGCUGAGUAGCAGACACAGAUGUGCGACAUGACCCAACAGGGCUCUGGGAUGUGCCGCACCCCAUCUCCAGCCCUAGGGGCUCCACCUGGGCGGAGAUGCCAGCCAGAUGUCCUGUCACAGAAGUUGUUAGCUGUGCCCUGCCAGGCCAAAGAAAAGGGGUCAACAAACCACAGACUGAAACAUCUGAAUCCAGGAACCAAAGUAAACCUCUCCUGCUGCUGAGCUGAUCGCUCAGGUGUUCGUCACAGUGAGGGAAAGCUGCCCGGUACAGGGACGCAGAUGUUCAGACUGAAGCAGUCUCCCUUCUUCCCACUGUCCGUGUGAGGGACAGGCCAGUGGAAUGGGCCUAGCUCGCCUUCAGCCAUGUCUGGGGCCAUGCAGAGAUGACACCUGAGUCUGUCCCUUGGCCGCUCCAGUGCCCUGCCCUGCCCUGCCCGGCCCGGCCCGACACUGCUCUUUGGGCCACUGCAGCCCUCUCAGCCAGCAACCUGAUGGUAGCAAGCUUUCCCGGCACUGAGCUACCUUUGCACUGUGGCUGAAGUCACCUCACCCAGCACGGCACUGAGGGUGCCUGGCCCUGCUCCCCAGUGCCCGGGAUGCCUUGCUCCCUGGAUGGCACCAAAAUCAACCUCCCCCUGCUCUCCCGAGGCAAGCCCUCCCCCAGGAUCACCCGGCCUUUUCCUUUUCUCUUUUCCUACUACCAGGGAGCUGGGCCCUUCAUUACUGAGCUACAUCAUCAGUCCCCCUUUUGUUCUUUUCCUUUAGACAGAGUCUCACUAAAUUACCCAGGCAGGACUCAAAUUUGCAAUCCUCCUGCCUCAGCCUCCUUGAGUGCUGGGAUUACAGAUGUGCACCACCACACCUGGAUAUACCCAGCCUUUUUCUAACACCCCCUUGCCAUUUACACUGGCGCCUCAGCACCCUGGCCAAGCAUAUUUCUCCUGGAGUUCCCAUUCCCACUCCCUACCUGGGCAGUGCCAGGGCACCCUGCAGACUCUCUUCGUCCACCUGGCUCUGGGAGAAGGCUGCAGACUCCCCAGGCAGUUAUGACUCCCCAGCCAGUAAUCCCCUCGGCCCCUCUGAGGCAGGGGCUCCUUGAAAGCAGGACCUGACACCUGCCAGCCAUCCAUGGCAGCCGAGUGGAGCCCAGCCACCCCGCUCAAGGAGCAGACCCUCGAAGGCUGCAUGGAAAUAAUUUUUAAUAUGCUGAAGCACAUUAAAAAUGCAUUAGAAAAGCAGGCGAUUUAAAUGGAAUUCCACAGGGAAUCGUUGUCUAAAAUCGAGAGCCUCUUUUUAAUGGG
rnacentral:lncRNA from 1 species